UACGGAAGGCAGCAGUGGGGAAUAUUGCACAAUGGGCGCAAGCCUGAUGCAGCCAUGCCGCGUGUAUGAAGAAGGCCUUCGGGUUGUAAAGUACUUUCAGUCGUGAGGAAGGUGUUAAGGUUAAUAACCUUAGCAAUUGACGUUAGCGACAGAAGAAGCACCGGCUAACUCCGUGCCAGCAGCCGCGGUAAUACGGAGGGUGCGAGCGUUAAUCGGAAUUACUGGGCGUAAAGGGCACGCAGGCGGUUAAUUAAGUUGGAUGUGAAAUCCCCGGGCUUAACCUGGGAAUGGCAUUCAAGACUGGUUAGCUAGAGUCUUGUAGAGGGGGUAGAAUUCCAUGUGUAGCGGUGAAAUGCGUAGAGAUGUGGAGGAAUACCGGUGGCGAAGGCGGCCCCUGGGACAAAGGACUGACGCUCAUGUGCGAAAGCGUGGGGAGCAAACGAGGGAUUAGAU
rnacentral:rRNA from 1 species